UACGUAGGGUGCAAGCAUUAAUCGGAAUUAUUGGGCGUAAAGGGCGCGUAGGCGGAGAUGUAAGUCAGAUGUGAAAUCCCGGGGCUCAACCCCGGAACAGCAUUUGAAACUGCGUUUCUAGAGGGUAGGCGGAGAAAACGGAAUUCCACAAGUAGCGGUGAAAUGCGUAGAUAUGUGGAAGAACACCAGUGGCGAAGGCGGUUUUCUAGCUUAUACCUGACUCUAAAGCGCGAAAGCAAGGGGAGCAAACAGG
rnacentral:rRNA from 1 species